GCAGUGUAGGUCACAGACGCAGCGAGGAAGGAUCAUGUGGCUGUGGCUGUGGUGCAGGCCUCUGUUGCAUCUCUUAUUCCACCCCUAGCCCAGGAACUUCCAUGUAUUCCAGCUGUGGCCCUAGAAAGAAAAGCGUGGUAGCCGAUGGGAGUAAAUUGGUUACUGAAAAAUUGAGGAUAUGAUGCAGUUUAUUUUGAAUAUAUUCACGCCCCUAAGACGUGCUGUAAUUGGAAAGGAAGGCACUUUCAAACAGAUCCAGAAGUGCGUUGUUUUGACACACAUUUCAGAAUAACUUGAGAUGUUUUCACGGGCUACCAGAAAUUUCAAGUUACACCAGAGAAGAUCUACAGACUAAAUUGUUACGUGGUGUCUUACCGACUCCCGGCGAAUUUUACAGCUGGUCAGUGUGCCGAGUUGUGAAACGCCUGCCUGGGUGAUGCCACGAACCACGUUUUCAGCAAAUCCCUUCACAGUGGGUCUCAAGGUAAGAGUGGCCGAAAGAAGAACCCACACACCGUUCUGAAGGCUGAAGUGAAGCGCCGAAGGUGCACUCCUGGAGGACUGUCCGUCCCACAAGGUGACACGGGGAUGCCCGCAGCCUCACCUCGUCCUCGUCCUCCUGUGCUCUGCGUCUCCACUGCUGCCUCCACUGACCACCAGCAGCCUGGCCCCAAGGUGCCCGGACCUGGCAGCCCACAGGCAGCUCCUGCCCGGAGGCCACAGCUUCUUGACCUGGCAGCUUCUGCGGAAGCUUCGAUUGGUUGCCCUUUACCGUAUCAGUGGGGCGAUCAGCUGUCUUGGGGUCUUGGAUUUAAAAGCAAGCUUGGACCUGUCUCCCUACUUCAGUGCCGCAGGAAGACUGGCUAGUGACGGUUUUCUUGACCUUGAUCCGACUCUCAGGGACCUUCACUUUCCAAACUACGCCCAUGUUCAUGUAAGGUGUUUUGGUUUUGUUGUUGUUUUUUCACAGCCACACCUGUGGUGUAGGAAAGUUCCUGGGCCAGGCAUCGAAUGGUAGCUGCAGCUGCAGGCCUUUGCCUCAGCUAUGGCAACAACUGAUCCAAGCCACAUCUGCAACCCAUGCUGCAGCUUACCCAUGCUGCAGCAGAGCCAGAGCCUUAGCCCACGGAGCCACAGUGGGGACUCCUUGUGUGAGGUUUAAUUCCACCAGUAAGUUCCUCUUUCUGAUAUUACUUCUAGAGCCUCAGUUUUCUCAUUGAACCCUCACUGGUAGUCACCAAAAGCGUGUUUUAUCCAGCAUGUCAUGAACUCUUGCUCUAGUACUAGUCAUCAUUGUGUUAGCCUUAAUAAUUGGUUAAUGUUUUCUUUCCCCUGUUAUCAAAACUAAAAUUAUAUUUUAGAUGUUGGAUGUGUUGCUUUUAAGAGUGUAUGCAUUUCUGUUCUAUUAAGCAUACAAGAAAAGCUUAGUCAUGAUAAUAGUAUUAAUAAAAUUAUGAAUCAUGUGA
rnacentral:lncRNA from 1 species